rnacentral:sRNA from 1 species
GCUGGGUGCGAUGGCUCAUGCCUGUAAUCCUAGCACUUUGGGAGGCUGAGGCAGGAGGAUCACUUGAGCCCAAGAGUUCAAGACUGACCUGGGCAACAUAGUAAGACUCUGUCUCUACAAAAAAUAAAAAAUUAGCUGGGCAUAGUGGCAUGUGCCUGUAGUCCCAGCUACUGGGGAGGCUAAGGUGAGAGAAUCACUUGAGCCCAGGAGGCCAAGGCUGUGGUGAACAGUGAUCAUGGCAUUGCAUUCCAGCCUGGGCAACAGAGUGAGCCCCUGUCUCU